UUCCAAGAAUUGGUUUGUCCUUUGUGUUUUACCUAGUUGCAUACCAAGACCCUUGGGAGGAGCAGUGGCCGAUGAUGGCGGACGACCUUUAGACCUGCUGGAAGGGGGAUCAACAUCAGUAGUCAAUCCAAAGCCAGAACCACUUCCAAAACCAGUUCCACUGCUGGAUAUACUCAUAUCACUGAAGCUGCUCUCAAUUCUUCCUGAACCAGUCAGAG
rnacentral:misc_RNA from 1 species